GCUGCCCUGCCUCCCACUCCAACUCCAGAGAGCAGCCAGCGGGUCACAGUGGUCCCGCCCAUGGACCUGGAGCCUAGGGGGAAAUGAGCUCGGAAAUCCGGAGCAAAUGAGGAGUGGUCCCUGAGAAGUCAGUGGCCUAGAUGUUGUGGCUGCUGAAGAAAAAAAGAAGAGGAGGCUGUUCGAGUAGCCGGCCAAGAGCGCUGCAGGUUCCCAGGCAGCUUCUCAUUCCCCUGUCCCUCCCAUCCCGUCUCUUGUUAACAGAAAAACUGCUUUCACUUUAAGAUAAGUGCCGGUUGCAGCCAGCUGUGAGAGCUGCACUCCCGUCUCUGCUCUAAAGUUCCCUCUUCUCAGAAGGUGGCACCACCCUGAGUUGCUGGCAGUGAGUCUGUUCCAAGUUCCAGUGAGGGAGGCAUCCACCCACUUGGGGCUUCUGUCCAAGGUAAGGAGCACCUGUGAGUCUAACUGCCAGGCUCUGAUGGGGGUCUCGUCUCUGUGGGACUAGAAAGUCCCAACAAUCUGACCAAGGUAAUAAGAGUCAGACAAGAAAAAGAGUUAAAGAAACAUGAGGCUGACAAAGACAGAGACCAGAGUCAGAAUCAGAGCUGUGCUGUGAGACAAAAAAAUAAGAAAAAUGAAAUGUUGGCCACAAAAGUCAGGAAAACUAGAAAACUUAGAUAGUACCUGGCAACAAAAAAAAGCUUUUGGCUAAAGAUCAACGUGUAAAAUAGUAA
rnacentral:lncRNA from 1 species